rnacentral:lncRNA from 1 species
CCAGGUUCCAAGGGUGAUUGGCCCCAGAAAGAGAGAGUGGAAAGCCAGGUAGAAGCUGUAUCAACUUUUAUGACCUCACCAUGGAAGUCUUGUGUCACUUCCGCCACAUUCUAUGCAUCAAGGCAGUUACAAAGUUCUGCCAAAGGUCAAAGAGAAAGAAAUAGACUCUAUCUCUUGAUGGAGUCAUAGUAAGAGCUGAUGGGAGUGGACAUGUUGUGGGAUUUAUUUUAGGAAAAUAAAAUCUGCCGCAGGUGGAGUGGCUAUUUACUGACAUAAAGAAAACCACAGAAGGAGAAGAUUGGGAUAGGGUGAGGUCAGGAGCUGAUAUCAGGAGUUUGAGAUAAUUUUGUUGACAUGCCUCUUAGUUUUCAACUGCAGAAGACAAGCAGGCAGGGCGCCUCACAGCCUUCUUGUGCUUAGGAACACUAGAUAGCGCUUCGGUAUAUGCUUGGGAGUCAUUUGAAACAAUGAAAUCACCAACAAAAAGCACAAAAAUGUGAAAAAUGUGACACUGAAUAGACCAUGAAAAGGGUGCUUGUUUACAAAGAGAAACAAAACAAGUAGCAAGAGCAUCUCUUUAUUCAACCUCCAUUGCCUGGCUGGGACCUCAGUUAGAAACAAGUGCAUUGCUGACUCCAACUUUUUGCUGCUCUGCACAUGUCUGCUAUUGACAGCAGAGGGACAGAGUAUUGAUUUUGGGAUUACAAGUAAAUUUUUGCCAGUUGGCAAAUACAGAAUCGGUGAAUCUUGAGGAUGGCUGUAUCUAACUUCCCUGAAACCAAACACAAAAGGCCAAGGAAUGGGCUUUUAUAGCUUUUUCUCUGUUCAUCCAUUUGGAAGGGGCCAUAACUUCAGUAUAUUUUAACUUUCAAGAUGUCAUCAAUACUUUGGGGUUUAAUGCCUUACACAAAUAACCCUGAAAUUAUAGUUUGUUUUGAUCUAAACAGUGUGAAAUCAGAUUUUAUUACUUUGAAAAUGGCCUAAUACUUGUGAAUCUCUCACCUUUGGUCAGCAUGUUCUUCCUAUAUUCCCAUAAAUUGGAUGCUCUGAGCAGGUUUUUCUAUUUGGCCAUUGAGGUCAGUGAACUGAAUAGAAGUUAGGGUACCGUUUAACACUCUUGAGGGGUGUAGGCUCCUGCAGUGAGAGAUCGUGUUUUGGGGUCUAAUUUUGCUCUGGGCCACGGCUAAGUCCAUCAGGAAUCUCGCCAUAGUACAAUGGUGUUUGACUGGACAGGCUUUCAACACUGUGUCAGUGGCGAUUUGCAGAAAUUCCCUGGAAGAUUCAAAAGCCCAUGAAGGGGCCUGACAGGUGAAAGUUGGGAAAAGCACAAACUAAAUAAUAGUAUUUAUGGAGACUGAGCCAAAGCAGCACUGGGACACCAAGGAGAGGUGACCACUUCCCUUUUUGAAGAUGCUAUGAGCUUCCUGUGAAAGAAAACAUACCGGAUUUGGCUUUAAGAAAGAAAAUAUUUUGAUCUUUGGGUUUUAAUAAGCAAUUUCCUAAGAAGCUAAAUUAAGUUAAAUUUAAGAAGAAAAUGAAAAAUAAAAUGAAUAGACACAUAAACCCCAAUGUGCUUUAAAAAUGCCUUUAUAAUUUUCCAUGGAACAAUUUUUUGUAUAGUUAAGGAAAAGCACGUUAGUCAUCUUUUCUGGCAGCCUGAAACUAUUUGGUUUCUAAUUCCUAAAGGAAUCAUUUAUUUAGCUCAUUGAAGAGUAAGCCGGCUGCCCCAUCAAGUGCCCACCACCCCCUCAGAGCUGGGGAGUCCCUCUGGGGAGGCUCAGGUUAUGGCUGCACGUCCAGCGCCUGUUGGAGUGCCGCACAGCAAGUCCAAGAUAACCCCAGGGCCUCCAGGAAAGAGAGCCGCGCGCAUCUUGCCGUUAGGCAGAUCAACUUUCCUUGUCUCUUCUCUUUCCCUAAAAUGUUGAGCCUUCCUGCCCAGAUGAUGUCCCCGCUUGUGCAGAUGCAAGAAACAAGGCAGAACGCCACGCCACUUUGUUUUCCCUGGAAGGGAAAGGAGCACUUAACGCCCUCGGAAGCAACACCCUCCAAAUACAGCAAUCCCGCUGUUCUGGGGGCCAGACUGCCACUGACCUCAGCUUUCCUAGCCACAAAAGAUUUUGGAAAACGCCUUUAAGGAAAAGGCGGUCACAAAGCCCGUCUACUUUUUUCAGGCCAGAGGACUAGGCAGAUUAAGGAGGAGGCCCCGGGAGCAGUAAUGGACACUGCCUAGGAUGCUGGUUUUGAAGGAGCACUAAAUCCCCACUGGAAGAAACUAAAAAUGCGAUGUCCAUUAACUCAAGUUUUCACUUACAACUGUUCCUGUGGAAGCAGUUCCUUCCUGCAAACUUCACCUUCGUGUCAUGGGACUUCUCAGUGAAGCAGCCUUUUUGUGACACCUCCAUGCGAGCAGCAGGGCACAACUGCAGGCCUGACCGCAGCCCCUCCCCCCGCCACCUGGGUCCACAUGUGGAGGCUGGAGUCCCGUUUCCCACAGCUGAUGAUGCCUGGUUCCUAAGAUGCUGUUCCUGGGAGUGGGGGCGCUCAUUCUCUUUUAUUAUCUAAAUGAUAAGCUCUUUAAUUGCCUCACAAAACAGCCUGGCUUAGAAAAUUGUGGGCAAUUUUAUUUUUAAAUUGCCCAGAAUUUUCUAAGCCACAAGAGUAUGUAGCCAUUCUCUUGUUUGGAAUACUGUAUAAAGAAAGAAGUAUAUGAUUUUUAUUCGUAGAACAUUCUCACUCCCACUAAUGUUGAACAAAAAUGCUUUCGAGGGGAGCAACUUUAUUAACUCUCUUAGGGGCCCCAGUGUGUCUAGCCCUGUGGGUUUGACUUGUUUGGCUAUUGGGUUUCUUCCCUGUCUUCAGCCCUAGGGAUGGGCCACUGGGAGUGGAAUAUCUGGUCUACAAAUAUCUAAACAGCUUAGAAAAUCCAUUUAAAUGUUGAGUAAGCAUCUCAGACUUAACAGGUCUAAAAUAGAUCUCUUGAUUUCUCAAGCUCCCACCUUUCUUGCAAGUGCUUUCUUACUCACAAGCUAGGAUGACCAACCAUCAUGGUUUUUCCUGGACUGAGGGUUUUCAGCGCUAAAACCAGGAAAGUCCCGGGACGAGUCUGUCACCUUAUUUCAGGCCAAUUUGUGCCUCGGGAGGCAGCAAAGGGUUUGCCAGUGCGGGCUGUGGAGCCGACUGCCUGGGGAAGGGCCUAACUCCAUUCUUGAACUUGCCAUGUAACUGUGGCACUUAAAAAUUGAGAAAAAUAGCAUCUGCUUAUUAGUGAUGUUGUGGAGCCACAAUGAAAUCAUGUAUGUAGAGUGCUUCUCAGUGUGCUGUGCGUGUAGGAAGGGCUCAUAAAUGUUAGCUUCUAUUAUUGUUGCAAUUAUUAUUAUUUGAAGGUAUAACACAGUAAUGGAGUGGGUAAUCCUGUGGGAAAAACAACAACUAAUACACCCGAUGUCAGCCCAGAGCCAUCAAAUAACAUUCAUGACAGCUUAAGAAGGUGGGAAAGUAUGGAAUCAUGUUCCUCCUUUUGAAAACUGUUUAUCAAAAUGAAUUUUACCCUGAAAAGUUUGGUUGUCUAUAGGGGCAAGUCUUGAUUAUCUGGAAAAUCCAGGCAAAGGCAUUUCUUGGGUAAAGGAGGUACAACUCUGUAUGCACACUCAAGCGUCUACAGGCCUCCUAAGUGUCCUCGAUGGGGCACCAGACACUGGAGGGGGCGGGGAGGGCUGAGCCUGUGGUUGGUCAGUCUCGCCCCCAUCCGGGGACACAGUGUCAGGCUGCAGACCCCGGGGCUCCAGACACAUGUGUUUUAGAUUAGUGUUAAUAGUCUGCUUCUGAAGCUCUUAUUUCCUGUCAUUUGGCUGCAAAUUUUGCUGAGUCAUUUGACCUCAUGGCUUUUCUGAAAGAGUAGUCAUGUGAUCAGAAGAAACUGUUGUGGGCCCACAGCUUGUCUGUGCACAGAUAUUUUUUUCAAACUCGAUUCAACCAGUAUUCCCAGGUCACAAACUGCAUGACGUACGUUAAAUUAGAGACCUGGAAUUAGGGACCUGGAGCUUACUGAGAGGGGUAGGGUCUGGCUUUGUCCACAAAGAGCUUGCUUUCUAGUGGGGAGGACAGGUCCAUAUCCAAGGACUACAAGUCGGACCUUAAGAAGUUUUAACACACAGAAAUAUAAACUGUGUGACUGGGAAGAGCAGAGUAAUUCAUUCUGACCUGGGAGAGUUGCAAAGGAAGCCACGUCAGGGUAGGCUUUGGAAGGAAGUAGAGUAAGUAGGACUUGACAAGCUGAGAAAGGGAAGGAAAAUUGGGACAGAGAGUGUGUGGAAGCCCAAAAACGUGCGCAGCAUCACAUCUGGCAACCAGCAUGCUCGAUUGCACCAUAGGAAGCACGAAGGCGGUCACGUGGGAGAUCAAAUGAGCUGGCUAAUGGAGGAUGUGAAAUGAAUACAAGACUGUAGAGUUUGGACUUUAUUCUAUAUGCAAGAGGGAAGGCUUUUGAGCAGCAGAGUGGUUUGGUCAUUGCUAGGCCUUAGAGAAGUGAAUUGGUCAAAGAGGGAGCCUGUUGGCUGUUACAUGUAGGAUGCAGGAAGACAGGAGAGAGCAUUAGUUACAAAUGCCAAUAAGAGUUAAUGAGGGCCUGAACUUGAGAAGUGGCAGAGAGAAUGGAAGGGAGGAAAGAGAAGAGACUAAAGAAGCCUUUGAGAGGCAGAAAGAGAGGAUUUAUCUACAUCCAACUCCAAGUGGGAAUUGAGCAGGGUUGGGGCAGCAGGGAAUGGAAGGGCGAAUGGAUAACGAACAUCUGGGGAGAACCACGGAGAUGACAGAUUAUGAAGAUGAGGGAAAUGGGGUUGGUUAGCCUAGAAAAAGGUGAACAGCACCUUAAUGAUAGCUUCUAUGCAUAUGAAAGAGACAGAUAGUAGCUUUUCCUGAUCUCCUCAGAAAAAGGCUCAAGUUAAAGUCUGAAGAGUUUAGACAAGAUACAAGAAAGAAUUUUCAAACGGGACCCAUAGCAGGAGAUGUUUUACUUUCAGGACGGGUUUUGUUUCCAAAGUUAAAUCUUUGCAUCACUGCCUGGAGAUGGGAGGGGAUGCCUCCUUCCAUCCCCCUUACUGGAA